AUCGCUUCUCGGCCUUUUGGCUAAGAUCAAGUGUAAAAGAUUUCUAUGACAACAACUAUUUAAUUCAACGAUUGCCUUCUGUCCUUAGCAAAUAUUUUCUGAUUGUCUCUAAUUUUUAACAAAUGUUCAAGCCAUUUUAUGGCCAUCAUUGAACUACAGGGCACUGUAGUAGUUCACUGAAGCAUCU
ensembl:snRNA U2 U2 spliceosomal RNA